CCCACAACCUUGUUAGGAACAGGAGGAGAACCUCAUCCUAACAUGAGCAAAGUCGAAGGCUCGAUUUUUUAAAGAUCGAAUCGAGGGAGAGGCCCUCGCAAUGGCCCAUAUGCGCCCCCACAGCCUUAUUAGGAACAGAAGGAGAACCUUGUCCUAACAUGAGCAAAUUUGAAUGUCCGAUUUCUUAAAGAUCGGAUGGGGGGAGAGGCCCUCGCAACGGCCCAUAUACGCCCCCACAGCCUUGUUAGGAACAGGAGGAGAACCUCAUCCUAACAUGAGCAAAGUCGAAGGCCCGAUUUCUUAAAGACC
rnacentral:lncRNA from 1 species